CUGCGGUGCGAGGAGGAGGGAGGGGCGUGCUGGGGGGCUUCACUCUUUUUCUUUCCUUCCAGGCCUUGUCCAGGGCUGUCUUCUCCUUCCCGCCUACCCUCGAGUCAAUGCCCAGGGCGGGUGCGGUAAAAUAGACCAAGCAGUUGCCCCGAAAUAUGCAUCCCGAGGCUCCGCUUCAGAUCCGGGCUUGGAAUUUUCACAUGAAAUGUGAGGCUGCUGUGUCCCUGGGUUUGCCCGUCCGCGUGGAUGCUGAAAUGCAGUCACAGAACCCUGGGUUGAAUCUCGGUUGUUGGUGAAUGGUCUGCUUUGUCCCAAACACUGCUCGGGAUUCCCAAUUUUUAACGUGUGUGUGAUGGAUCGCAUCCUCACACCUGAUAUGUACAAACAUUUUCUCAGAAAUGUAAAAAGAACUCUUUCUCCAAAGUAGUUUCCCUGUGGAAAAGAACACAGAUUUGAGGUUUUUGUUUGGUCAUUCCCAGACCUGGUAUCAGGCUCCAAGUAGCAGCCCGCAACCAGUGCAGUGGAGCGCCUGCGAACCUGUCUGGACCGGAAACCACGGGGCGUGUUCCGAGCCGCUGUUUCCAGAACCAGAAGGGAAACCUCCCACAGGCUCGUCUGCCUCCUCUGACGCAGAGGGCCGGGCCCAGCCGUGUGCGGCAGAUAAAGAGAUCACACAUUGCAUUAAAAAACAUAAGAUGGGAACUGGACGUGGCUCAACUGAUAGAGCCUCCGCCUACCAUAUGGAGGGUCCAGGGGUUGAUCCCCAGGGCCUCCUGACCCUGUGGUAAGCUGGCCCACGUGCAGUGCUGCCGCAUGCAAGGGUGCUGUGCCAUGCAGGGGCGCCCCUGCGUAGGAGUGCCCCACGCGCAAGGAGUACACUGCAAGGAGAGCCACCCUGUGUGAAAAAAGCACAGCCUGCCCAGGAGUGGUGCUGCACACACGGAGAGCUGACACAGCAAGAUGAUGCAACAAAAAAGAGACGCAGUUUCCCGGUGCCACCUGACAAUGCAAGGGAAUGCAGAAGAACACAUAGUGAAUGGACACAGAGAGCAGACAAUGGGGGGCGAAGGGGGGGAGAAAUAAAUAAAAUAAAUCUUUAAAAACAAAAAGCUGUAAGAGGUUCCCAUAUACCCCACUCCCUGCCCCUGCUCCUCCCACAUCAACAUCCCAUUUCAUCAGUAAGGCACAUUCAUUGCAUUGGGCCCAGCAUCAGUUUUUGAAUAGACUGUUCUGGUCCAACUGGGUGGGC
rnacentral:lncRNA from 1 species